AGAGAGACGGCGGGGCGAGAGAGGGGGGGGGGAGGGAGAGAGGUGAUGGAGAGGGAGAUGGCAGAAGGGGAAGAGGACAGGGAGAACGGAGGGGAGGGGGAAGUGGCGGCGCCGGUGGUGGCGGAGGAGGAAGUGGGCUCCAGCCUCACCAUGAAGCGGGUGGCUGCUGCGAAGCAGUUCAUCGAGAACCACUACAGGAACCAGAUGAAGAACAUCCAGGAGCGUAAAGAAAGGCGUUGGUUUUUAGAGAAACAAUUAGCCUCUUCGCAAGUUCCGAAGGAGGAGAAAAUCAAUUUACUAAAAGAUCUGGAGAGGAAGGAGACGGAGUUCAUGCGACUUAAAAGGCAUAAAAUCUGUGUGGAUGAUUUUGAGCUACUCACCAUUAUUGGGAGAGGAGCUUUUGGAGAGGUCAGACUGUGCCGGGAGAAGUCCUCCGGCAAUAUUUAUGCAAUGAAAAAGCUGAAAAAGUCUGAAAUGGUCAGCAGGGGUCAGGUGGAGCAUGUUAGAGCUGAAAGGAACCUGCUUGCUGAGGUUGCGAGCCAUUGCAUCGUGAAGCUCUACUAUUCAUUUCAAGAUGCUGAAUACCUAUACCUAAUUAUGGAAUAUCUUCCGGGAGGGGAUAUGAUGACCCUGCUAAUCAGAGAAGAUACCUUAACUGAAAAUGUGGCUAGAUUUUACAUCGCCGAGAGUGUAUUGGCCAUAGAAUCAAUUCAUAAACAUCAUUAUAUUCACAGAGAUAUUAAGCCUGACAAUCUUCUCUUGGACAAAAAUGGUCACAUGAAGCUGUCAGACUUUGGCUUGUGCAAGCCAAUUGACUGCUCAAAACUUUUGACUUUGAAUGAGGAUGAACCAAUGAGUGAUGAAAAUCUUAAUGAGUCAAUGGACAUUGAUGGAAGCUUCUCAGAUACAAAUACAGGUAGAAGGUGGAAUAGCCCCCAUGAACAACUUCAGCAUUGGCAGAUGAACAGGAGGAAACUGGCGUUUUCCACAGUGGGAACACCAGACUAUAUUGCUCCAGAAGUAUUACUGAAAAAGGGAUAUGGAAUGGAAUGUGAUUGGUGGUCAUUGGGUGCUAUAAUGUAUGAGAUGCUUGUUGGCUAUCCACCAUUCUACUCCGAUGACCCAAUUACCACUUGUCGAAAGAUUGUGCAUUGGAGACAUAAUUUGAAAUUUCCUGAAGAGGCAAGGUUGUCACCUGAGGCAAAGGAUCUUAUUUGCAGAUUGCUAUGUGAUGUUGAACACAGACUUGGCAGUGGAGGUGCAGACCACAUAAAGGCCCAUCCUUGGUUCAAAGAUAUCAUAUGGGAUAAACUUUACGAAAUGGAGGCAGCAUUUAAACCUGAAAUAAAUGGAGAACUGGAUACCCAGAACUUCCUGAAGUUUGAUGAAUUAGAGCCACCUACUCCAGCAAGAACUGGUUCUGGAUCAAGAAAGAUGUUGCUAAAUUCUAAGGACUUGAGCUUUGUCGGAUAUACUUACAAGAACUUUGAGGCUGUCAAAGGCUUUCAUCAUUCUUUUGAUAUGAAAAGAAGUACGUCACCAAAGCGGCCCGCAAUCGAUUCCAUAUUUGGUGAAGUGCCUCGCACCAAUUCAGCCAUGGACUCUGCUAGGAAAUCAACUGGAGGGGAUACUGACGUACCCAUGGUCUCAUCAGGCGAUGCAAUGUCCCCAUAACUUGCUAUCUGCACUGAUUAAUAGUUUAUUCAUGUGCCCUCCGUGAUGUGGCUGUGGAAGUGACCUGCUUGUUUUUAGUCAGAUGCAGCCAACAAAAUCAGAAAAUGAGGCAAUUCAGUUUGCGGCACUGUUUGUCUUUCUGUAAACGUGCGUGGCCUGGUGGAAGCCGCACUUUUUCAGUAAUCUGCGAAUGCCGUGGAGCAACUACCAGUCUCCAGCAGCGCAUCUGCGACUUUGGAUUUACUCAAUCACCGUGGCCGAAUUCUCCUCGAGGAGGUGAUCCACUUCUAGUACCUGCUUCUCAUAGGAGAUACCCCUCCAAGCAGUUCUAAGUUCGGUACACACCACAGAUGUAUCGAAGAUUCGUCGAUUUUUUGCUGCUACUAGUCCGGUGUCGUGAUUUCUAAUGAUGAAUGCUACACCUUUGUAGCUUUUGUCUUUGGUUACACUGUCGUCGAAGUUUAUUUUGAGAAAAUCAGGAGGAGGGGCACUUGGGAGGUAAACAUAGUUUUGGACACUGUAAGGGUAGAAUAGGGGCUUGAAUGUUCCUAUUUAAUGCCCCUUUGCCUCCAAGCAUCUAGAGUUUAGAUUAUUUUGAUUAGCAGUUACUUUGUUCGAUGCUUAAAGGUUGUUAGAUGGUGAAAGGGACUUUUUUAAGGAGUCUCUUAUUAUAUGGAUUCAGUUCAACCUGAAAUCAUGCAUUUGGGACAAGCAAAGUGGUGAUGCAUUUGCAAUUAGAGUUUUGUACAGGCUGGACAUUUUCUCUGGGCACGUCACCAAUCUCAAA